GCAGGCUGCAGGACACACUGACCUGGGGUCAAAAGACAGGGAAUCUGCUGCUGGUUCUUCUUCCCAAGGGGCCAGGGGAGAGGAUGAAGAGAAAGUCAUACGGAGUGAGCAGAUGAAAGAAAGUUAAUGGAGACCACGGACAAGGGGCCAGACAAGCCUUACUUCAGAUCCUCACUCUUUCUCUUAAUAGCUGUGUGAUCUCAGGCAAAUUGCUUGACCUUUCUCUUCGUCAAUAAGAAAAGGAAAAAAUAGCAGGUAACAUUUACUGAGCAAUUCCAACAUGCCAUCGCUUUCAGUGCUUUAUAUUGUUAAGGAAUAUAAUCCUCCAGACUCCUGAUGGCCCGUCGUAGAGACGAAGCAGCUGGGGAGAAGAGGACAGGACAUAUAUCCAGGCAGCCCGUGUCAGGGCCCAGCCUGUGACCACAGCAACAGCAGCAGCAGUGUGUACUUAGCAUAACGCCGGCCUGCGGUCAGACCCGGUGCUGUCGUGGACUGUGGCAGGGAGUGGGGCUGUUCCCAUCCAUGAGCAACAGCUGCCAGUGCUACGAGGGACAAAGUUGCUCUCACUGCUGUGGUCACACCCAACGUGUCACCUCCUCCUCCUCCCGGCACCAGGAGGGCAGCCGGCCAGCACCUCAGAUGGACUCCAGAACCAGGUUACCAAUGGCCUGCUGGGUCUAACUGGACGUCCGUGCUCCCGUGCGAGGUUCACUGGGUCUCAAAGCCAAGCCCCCUCGUGCCGUGCUGACUCCUCCCGGGCUGGACAGAGUUCCUUAGAACCAGAACGAAUCAGGAUAAAUUCUUAGAAGUGAAAUUCCUAGAAGAGUCUUCAUACAUCUUGAAAAUCUGCUUUCCAGAAACAUGGAUUGAAG